AGGUCACGUGGGCAUUCGUAAUUCGUUGCGAAUAUUCGUUGUUCGCAGGAUUUUUCCUGCUUUUAACGAAUACUCGCAAAAAUUAAGAUUGGAUUGCUAUGAUAAUAAAUUUUUUAAUAUAAAACUUCUAAAAUUAAAUAUUAUAGUUAUAAUGGCGUCAAAUAGUUUUUCACAGCCACAGCUUUACAAAUGUGGUCUGUGCUUAGAAUAUAUACUUUUUGAAAACAUAUAUUUACAUAACUGUGUGCAAAACUUUACGCAAGUUUUUAUAACUGAAGAUAAUGUAACUUUCUUUCCUCAAACAGAAAGUAAUGAAGUUAUUGACACAAUGGAGAAAUUAGAAAUUUAUCGUACUAAGUUAAAUGAAACUAAUAAACACAUUGAAUUUAAUAAAGAAAAUAGAGAUUCCUUAAAUCAAAACUUGUCGAUGGAAGAAAUGCUUAUUGCAGCAGUUGAAGAAAGACCACCGUUGUGGAACUAUAAAGAUUGCCUUCCAAAAGAUCGAACCAAUGCUGCAAAGAAUAAAUUAUGGGAAGAAAUUGAAGAGAUCCUUAAUCCCAAUAAAGAAAACCCACAAUACACUGCUGCUUAUUUUAAAAAUAAGUGGAGAAAUUUAUUAGACACGUAUAGAGUGUAUUUAUCAAAAGAAAGAACACAAAGUGGACAAGCUGCUCACAAAAAAAAACCAUGGAGAUUUAUGGACCAAAUGGGUUUUAUAAAAAACAAUCAACAAUUUUCCAAGAACCAUGUCACACAGUUCUACCUGUAAUAAUUCAGAUUCAGAAAGUAAUAAUGAUACUAACAAUGUACAUGAAAAACGUGCAAAAAAUACAAAUACUGAUUAUAUCGAAAAAAUAGUAACAGCUCUUGAAAAGCCUAUUGCAGCACCUACAAUAAUACAACCGGAAAUACAAAUUCCUAAAAGAGAUGAAAUAAGUCAAUUUUGUUUAA
rnacentral:misc_RNA from 1 species